ensembl:lncRNA
CACGUGAUGAAACAUGCACGGUGGACAGCAGGCUGGUAAGAACAGUGUGACAUGACUGUUUAAAGGCACUGAAUGUGGUAUUUUGCCAGGCUGGGACUUGAUCCAAAAGGAAAAUACUGAAGAGAAACAGAGAAGAAACAGACUGUGUUUGCUGGAAUUCAAGACAACAAAAGGACACUGAGAGAAGAGGACGGUGACCAGUGAGAGGCGAAGCUGGACGACUUCGACUGUGAGAAUAGAGGGUGUAAUUGGACUGAAAGUGAAGCUUGAACUCAUGAUGGUUUAGAGAUGUCCACCGUCACAAACAAAGAGUUGUGUUUCUAUAGGGGCGAAACAGAUCUGGAUCAAUUUUCCACGUGCAGCGGUCGGAAGAAACCUGUAGGUUAACUUGACUGGACAUGCCAAGAAGAUCUCGGCGACCACAGGAGGGGCGAGGAUCCUGGAGAUCUCGAGGUCCGAGACCACCAGAGAGGGUCUGAGCGAGGACACAAUGUAUUGCGACCUCUGGUGUUCCAGAGGUCGAGAG